AAUUUUCCUCCUAUGCCUUCUCCAGAACUCCCUUAGAGAAAGCAUUUUUGAAGCUAUAGAAUCACCCAGAAGUCCAUGUCUAAGCGAUUAUAGAUGCAAAUCCAUUCCACGAAUACAGAAGCAAGCAGUAAUUAAAAAAUAAUAAACCUCUCAAGAUAUAGUAUAGAAGAAGGUCCCUGAAAAGCCAAUUGAGAAACGAAUAGGACUCUUAUCACAGACAGGCCUAAGAAAACCCGCCAGCAGGCGAAGAAAUGGCAAAGCUUAAGCUACCAAUUAAGAAAGCCAUACAGAGAGAGAACUGAGAAGAGCACUGUGUAUGAAGAAAGUGUUGAGGUUUACACAGAGAGAGAGAGAGAGAG
rnacentral:misc_RNA from 1 species